rnacentral:rRNA from 1 species
AGGGCACCACCAGGAGUGGAGCCUGCGGCUUAAUUUGACUCAACACGGGAAAACUCACCCGGCCCGGACACUGGAAGGAUUGACAGAUUGAGAGCUCUUUCUUGAUUCAGUGGGUGGUGGUGCAUGGCCGUUCUUAGUUGGUGGAGUGAUUUGUCUGGUUAAUUCCGAUAACGAACGAGACUCUAGCCUACUAAAUAGAUCGUCGGCUUACAAACGCCGGCGAGACUUCUUAGAGGGACAGGCGGUGAUUCAACCGCACGAAACAGAGCAAUAACAGGUCUGUGAUGCCCUUAGAUGUCCGGGGCCGCACGCGCGCUACACUGAAGUGAUCAGCGUGCUUUUUCAACCUACUCUGUCAAGAGUGGGGAACCCAAUGAACCUUCUUCGUGAUUGGGAUAGGGGAUUGUAAUUAUUCCCCUUGAACGAGGAAUUCCCAGUAAGCGCGAGUCAUAAGCUCGCGUUGAUUACGUCCCUGCCCUUUGUACACACCGCCCGUCGCUACUACCGGUUGAAUGUUUU